CAGUAGCCGCGGUAAUACGUAGGUGGCAAGCAUUGUCCAGAAUUAUUGGGCGUAAAGGGCUCGCAGGCGGUUUCUUAAGUCUGAUGUGAAAGCCCCCGGCUCAACCGGGGAGGGUCAUUGGAAACUGGGAAACUUGAGUGCAGAAGAGGAGAGUGGAAUUCCACGUGUAGCGGUGAAAUGCGUAGAGAUGUGGAGGAACACCAGUGGCGAAGGCGACUCUCUGGUCUGUAACUGACGCUGAGGAGCGAAAGCGUGGGGAGCGAACAGGAUUAGAUACCCCGGUAGUCCCUGUCUCUUAUAC
rnacentral:rRNA from 1 species